GACGAACGCUGGCGGCGUGCUUAACACAUGCAAGUCGAACGGAAAGGCCCUGCUUUUGUGGGGUGCUCGAGUGGCGAACGGGUGAGUAACACGUGAGUAACCUGCCCUUGACUUUGGGAUAACUUCAGGAAACUGGGGCUAAUACCGGAUAGGAGCUCCUGCUGCAUGGUGGGGGUUGGAAAGUUUCGGCGGUUGGGGAUGGACUUGCGGCUUAUCAGCUUGUUGGUGGGGUAGUGGCUUACCAAGGCUUUGACGGGUGGCCGGCCUGAGAGGGUGACCGGCCACAUUGGGACUGAGAUACGGGCCAGACUCCUACGGGAGGCAGCAGUGGGGAAUAUUGCACAAUGGGCGGAAGCCUGAUGCAGCAACGCCGCGUGCGGGAUGACGGCCUUCGGGUUGUAAACCGCUUUCGCCUGUGACGAAGCGUGAGUGACGGUAAUGGGUAAAGAAGCACCGGCUAACUACGUG
rnacentral:rRNA from 1 species